rnacentral:rRNA from 1 species
AACGAACGCUGGCGGCAUGCCUAACACAUGCAAGUCGAACGAGACCUUCGGGUCUAGUGGCGCACGGGUGCGUAACGCGUGGGAACCUGCCCUUAGGUUCGGAAUAACUCCCCGAAAGGGGUGCUAAUACCGGAUAAUGUCUUCGGACCAAAGAUUUAUCGCCUUUGGAUGGGCCCGCGUUGGAUUAGCUAGUUGGUAGGGUAAAAGCCUACCAAGGCGACGAUCCAUAGCUGGUCUGAGUGGCUGAUCAGCCACACUGGGACUGAGACACGGCCCAGACUCCUACGGGAGGCAGCAGUGGGGAAUAUUGGACAAUGGGCGAAAGCCUGAUCCAGCAAUGCCGCGUGAGUGAUGAAGGCCUUAGGGUUGUAAAGCUCUUUUACCCGGGAUGAUAAUGACAGUACCGGGAGAAUAAGCUCCGGCUAACUCCGUG